rnacentral:rRNA from 1 species
UGGGGAAUAUUGGACAAUGGGGGCAACCCUGAUCCAGCAAUGCCGCGUGUGUGAAGAAGGUCUUCGGAUUGUAAAGCACUUUCGACGGGGACGAUGAUGACGGUACCCGUAGAAGAAGCCCCGGCUAACUUCGUGCCAGCAGCCGCGGUAAUACGAAGGGGGCUAGCGUUGCUCGGAAUGACUGGGCGUAAAGGGCGUGUAGGCGGUUUACACAGUCAGAUGUGAAAUCCCCGGGCUUAACCUGGGAGCUGCAUUUGAUACG